UACGAGGGGGGCAAGCGUUGUUCGGAAUUAUUGGGCGUAAAGGGCGCGUAGGCGGUGCGGUAAGUCUGUUGUGAAAUCUCCGGGCUCAACUCGGAGUCUGCAUCAGAAACUGCCGUGCUCGAGUGUGGGAGAGGUGAGUGGAAUUCCCGGUGUAGCGGUGAAAUGCGCAGAUAUCAGGAGGAACACCGGUGGCGAAGGCGGGUCUCUGGGCCGAUACUGACGCUGAGGAGCGAAAGCGUGGGGAGCGAACAGG
rnacentral:rRNA from 1 species